UCGUGCGAGAAGGAGGCUUCGGUCUCUGAGUAGAGCGGCGCACGGGUGAGUAACGCGUGGAUGAUCUACCCUUGAGUUCGGGAUAACGGUGCGAAAGCGCCGCUAAUACCGUAUAACAAUCCAUUUCAUCGUGGGUUCAAAGCAGGCCUCUUCAUGAAAGCUUGCGCUUGGGGAUGAGUCCGCGUCCCAUUAGCUUGUUGGCGGGGUAACGGCCCACCAAGGCAACGAUGGGUAGCUGGUCUGAGAGGAUGAUCAGCCACACUGGAACUGAAACACGGUCCAGACUCCUACGGGAGGCAGCAGUGGGGAAUAUUGCGCAAUGGGGGAAACCCUGACGCAGCGACGUCGUGUGAGGGAAGAAGGCCUUCGGGUCGUAAACCUCUGUCAGAAGGGAAGAACAUCCGGGAGUCGAACAGCCUCCCGGCCUGACGGUACCUUCAGAGGAAGCGCCGGCUAACUCCGUGCCAGCAGCCGCGGUAAUACGGAGGGCGCAAGCGUUAAUCGGAAUCACUGGGCGUAAAGCGUGCGUAGGCUGCUUGAUAAGUCAGACGUGAAAUCCCUCGGCUCAACCGGGGAACUGCGUUUGAUACUGUCGAGCUAGAGUCCUGGAGAGGGUGGCGGAAUUCCUGGUGUAGGAGUGAAAUCCGUAGAUAUCAGGAGGAACACCGGUGGCGAAGGCGGCCACCUGGACAGGUACUGACGCUGAGGUACGAAAGCGUGGGGAGC
rnacentral:rRNA from 1 species